rnacentral:misc_RNA from 1 species
AAGUCGUAACAAGGUUUCCGUAGGUGAACCUGCGGAAGGAUCAUUACCGAGAGAGGGGCCUCGCGCUCCAGGGGGCUUCGGCCCCCGACUCUUCACCCUAUGUCAACUUACUUUCGUUGCUUUGGCGGACCCCGGGGCGUCGCCCUGCGCCUCCCCCCGGCUUUACGGCCGGGGUCGGUGUGCGCCCGUCAGAGGCCCAUUACAUUCUGUCUUGAUCAAAGUGUCCGAGUCAAACAUAAUAGUUAAAACUUUCAACAACGGAUCUCUUGGUUCUG